UCGUUUUUAUAUCAUAAUAGUAAUAAGUACUUGCGGGCUUCAAAUUGUUAAAAAGGAGGGCAUUAUCAGAUGCAAUCCUAUAUCUCAUAACAGUAGAAAAAGCGGAGAUGAAACUAUUUAAAAAAAUGCCACGUGGAAUUGAAUUAUCAGAUGGGGAGCGUUGAUUGAUUAAUGGACUUAAUCAACUUGCGUAUUGGUCGUAUAGGUACCGUUGAUGACAGGAGCAAACGGCGCAUUUAGCAGUCAGCUGCCAAUAACCACAAGAGUUGCAGACAAAUAAAAGCGGAAUUUGGUCUAGAUCUGAUGUGUGCAUCAAAUAAUAAGAAAAUGUGUAUGCCUCAAAUAUAAAAACCGAAUUCCUAAGCCAUUUCCAAAGCAACGUCAUAAAAAUGUAAGAUGUAUUGUAAUUUUAUUUGGGCAGACCAGAUGGUAUUUAUAAAGAAUUUGAGACGAUCGCGGAAGACAUGCUUAUCCCCGUUUAUUUUUUUAUUGU